UACGUAGGGUGCGAGCGUUGUCCGGAAUUAUUGGGCGUAAAGAGCUCGUAGGCGGUUUGUCGCGUCGGCCGUGAAAUCUCCACGCUUAACGUGGAGCGUGCGGUCGAUACGGGCAGACUUGAGUUCGGUAGGGGAGACUGGAAUUCCUGGUGUAGCGGUGAAAUGCGCAGAUAUCAGGAGGAACACCGGUGGCGAAGGCGGGUCUCUGGGCCGAUACUGACGCUGAGGAGCGAAAGCCAGGGUAGCGAAAGGG
rnacentral:rRNA from 1 species